rnacentral:tRNA from 1 species
GUAGCUUAGUGGCAGAGCACUUGCCUAGCAUGCAUGAGGCCCUGAAUUCCAUCUUCAGC